GAAAUCAUUGCUAAUACCGCAUAUGCCAUAACUACCGCAUGGUAGAAGUGGGAAAGGAGUAAUCCGCUGAUAGAUGGCCUUGCGUCUGAUUAGUUAGUUGGUGGGGUAACGGCCUACCAAGACGACGAUCAGUAGCCGGACUGAGAGGUUGAACGGCCACAUUGGGACUGAGAUACGGCCCAGACUCCUACGGGAGGCAGCAGUCGGGAAUAUUGCGCAAUGGAGGAAACUCUGACGCAGUGACGCCGCGUGCAGGAAGAAGGUUUUCGGAUUGUAAACUGCUUUAGACAGGGAAGAGAAAGGACAGUACCUGUAGAAUAAGCUCCGGCUAACUACGUGCCAGCAGCCGCGGUAAUACGUAGGGAGCGAGCGUUAUCCGGAUUUAUUGGGUGUAAAGGGUGCGUAGACGGGAAUACAAGUUAGUUGUGAAAUACCUCGGCUUAACUGAGGAACUGCAACUAAAACUAUAUUUCUUGAGUACAGGAGAGGUAAGUGGAAUUCCUAGUGUAGCGGUGAAAUGCGUAGAUAUUAGGAGGAACACCAGUGGCGAAGGCGACUUACUGGACUGAAACUGACGUUGAGGCACGAAAGUGUGGGGAGCAAACAGGAUUAGAUACCCUGGUAGUCCACACCGUAAACGAUGGAUACUAGGUGUAG
rnacentral:rRNA from 1 species